AUAGAAAUUAAAUAAAAUAUUAAUAAGUAUUAAAAUGUACUUAUUUAUAAUAAAAUAUUAAUAUUGAUAUUUUUCUUUGUGAAAACUUUUUAGAGUUGAGUUAUAAAAAUCCAAUUUUGAUCUUAUCAAGUAACUUAUAACGAUCAACUAGAGAACUUAUCACUCAUUUUUUUUCAUCUUUUUUGACUUCAAUAUCAUUAUCCAAAUCGAAUAUGAUAACAAUCUCUCCUCCUAGUUUUUCAUCAAGAUUGAAGAUGAAUUUUUCAUUCGAAAACGAGUAUAUAUAAUGAAACACAUUCUCAUCCCACCCAUUUCAUUCCUAUUCAAAUUGUUUAUUUUU
rnacentral:lncRNA from 1 species